GACGAACGCUGGCGGCAUGCCUAACACAUGCAAGUCGAACGAGACCUUCGUGUCUUUGGGCGCACGGCUGCGUAACGCGGGGGAACCUGCCCGUAGGUUCGGAAUAACUCCCCGAAGGGUGUGCUAAGACCGGUUAAGGUCUUCGGACCAAAGAUUUAUCGCCGUUGGAUGGGCGCGCGUUGGAUUAGGUAGUUGGUAGGGUAAAAGCCUACCAAGGCGACGAUCCAUAGCUGGUCGGAGAGGAGGAUCAGCCACACUGGGACUGAGACACGGACCAGACUCCUACGGGAGGCAGCAGUGGGGAAUAUUGGACAAUGGGCGAAAGCCUGAUCAAGCAAUGCCGCGUGAGUGAUGAAGGCCUUAGGGUUGUAAAGCUCUUUUACCCGGGAUGAUAAUGACAGUACCGGGAGAAUAAGCUCCGGCUAACUCCGUG
rnacentral:rRNA from 1 species